rnacentral:lncRNA from 1 species
UGGGGAAAACAUACCUCCCUAAUCUAAGAAUAAGGACUUGGCUAUCUUUCUUUUCUUUUGCAUUGGGACUUUUGUCCUCUUUCUUUCUUUUCUCAUUUUUUUAGAUCAGCCAUCCUUUUUUAAUGCACUAAUAAAAGAAGUAGGGAGUAUCAACUGAAAUAACUGGAGCUUUAUUGGAUAAGUAGAAUAAUACAUAAUGGCAAUUGAUGAAGGAAUGCGUACUCCUGGGGUAGG